rnacentral:rRNA from 2 species
AGAGUUUGAUCCUGGCUCAGGACGAACGCUGGCGGCGUGCCUAAUACAUGCAAGUCGAGCGGACAGAUGGGAGCUUGCUCCCUGAUGUUAGCGGCGGACGGGUGAGUAACACGUGGGUAACCUGCCUGUAAGACUGGGAUAACUCCGGGAAACCGGGGCUAAUACCGGAUGCUUGUUUGAACCGCAUGGUUCAAACAUAAAAGGUGGCUUCGGCUACCACUUACAGAUGGACCCGCGGCGCAUUAGCUAGUUGGUGAGGUAAUGGCUCACCAAGGCAACGAUGCGUAGCCGACCUGAGAGGGUGAUCGGCCACACUGGGACUGAGACACGGCCCAGACUCCUACGGGAGGCAGCAGUAGGGAAUCUUCCGCAAUGGACGAAAGUCUGACGGAGCAACGCCGCGUGAGUGAUGAAGGUUUUCGGAUCGUAAAGCUCUGUUGUUAGGGAAGAACAAGUACCGUUCGAAUAGGGCGGUACCUUGACGGUACCUAACCAGAAAGCCACGGCUAACUACGUGCCAGCAGCCGCGGUAAUACGUAGGUGGCAAGCGUUUGUCCGGAAUUAUUGGGCGUAAAGGGCUCGCAGGCGGUUUCUUAAGUCUGAUGUGAAAGCCCCCGGCUCAACCGGGGAGGGUCAUUGGAAACUGGGGAACUUGAGUGCAGAAGAGGAGAGUGGAAUUCCACGUGUAGCGGUGAAAUGCGUAGAGAUGUGGAGGAACACCAGUGGCGAAGGCGACUCUCUGGUCUGUAACUGACGCUGAGGAGCGAAAGCGUGGGGAGCGAACAGGAUUAGAUACCCUGGUAGUCCACGCCGUAAACGAUGAGUGCUAAGUGUUAGGGGGUUUCCGCCCCUUAGUGCUGCAGCUAACGCAUUAAGCACUCCGCCUGGGGAGUACGGUCGCAAGACUGAAACUCAAAGGAAUUGACGGGGGCCCGCACAAGCGGUGGAGCAUGAGGUUUAAUUCGAAGCAACGCGAAGAACCUUACCAGGUCUUGACAUCCUCUGACAAUCCUAGAGAUAGGACGUCCCCUUCGGGGGCAGAGUGACAGGUGGUGCAUGGUUGUCGUCAGCUCGUGUCGUGAGAUGUUGGGUUAAGUCCCGCAACGAGCGCAACCCUUGAUCUUAGUUGCCAGCAUUCAGUUGGGCACUCUAAGGUGACUGCCGGUGACAAACCGGAGGAAGGUGGGGAUGACGUCAAAUCAUCAUGCCCCUUAUGACCUGGGCUACACACGUGCUACAAUGGACAGAACAAAGGGCAGCGAAACCGCGAGGUUAAGCCAAUCCCACAAAUCUGUUCUCAGUUCGGAUCGCAGUCUGCAACUCGACUGCGUGAAGCUGGAAUCGCUAGUAAUCGCGGAUCAGCAUGCCGCGGUGAAUACGUUCCCGGGCCUUGUACACACCGCCCGUCACACCACGAGAGUUUGUAACACCCGAAGUCGGUGAGGUAACCUUUUAGGAGCCAGCCGCCGAAGGUGGGACAGAUGAUUGGGGUGAAGUCGUAACAAGGUAACCG